rnacentral:misc_RNA from 1 species
UUGAGAAAGAACGAGGCUGCGGAGCAUCUGAGAGUACAUUGAAAAGUCAGGGAAAAAAAAAAUGGCGUGGAGAGGCCAACUUUCUCGGAAUCUUAAGGAGCUUCGGAUUCUUUUGUGCCAAUCUUCGCCUUCAAGUUCAUCGGCUAGAGCAUUCGUCGAGAAAAAUUACAAGGAUCUCAAGACUCUGAACCCUAAACUCCCGAUCCUGAUCCGUGAGGCUAGUGGAAUCGAGCCUCAGUUAUGGGCUAGAUAUGAUAUGGGUGUUGAGAGGUGCGUUCGAUUAGAAGGUUUGUCUGAGGCGCAGAUCUUUAAGGCCCUUGAAGACCUUGCAAAAGUUGGGGCAUCGCUCAAAGCUUGAUAUCAAUGCUGUUCAACUGUAUGGAAUGAAAUAAAUUGGUACUCUGGGAAGAUCUUCCUAUGACAUAUUUCCUGAGUUUUGCUAUGUUUGCUUUGACAGAUGCUCACCAUUAUCAUUUAUUUUGAUCACAACCAACAUUAUCAUGUUUCUUUUUCUGUGGCCAGUGCUACUUUCCAACCCAUUUAAUAAAGUUGCUUGUGUGCAGUAGGAAGAAAAACUUAAUAUAGACCCUAUUUGUAUGGAGGAGAGGCAAGUCAUCAACAAAAAAAUGUAUGAAGCAAUCCAGUUGUCAACUAAAUUUGCUUUCUUCAACAUGAACAAAGGUACAAUCUACCAAAAGGGAAGCAAACCCUUGAAAGGCAAAAUGAGGGAACUGGUCUCCUAUUGAACAGUUUAGGAAUCAACUGAAUGGGCUUAUAAAGCCUGGACAGAAUCUGAAUCGACGAUGGUAGCAUUACCACUUCAAGGAUACCCAAUUGUUCUUACCACAAUUGAAGUACCAACGGAAAAACUAUACUUUUUUCAAGAAAUAUCGCGAUAGAAUUUCAAGAAAUCAAUAAGGGAGGAUGGGAUUGGAGACACCAAACGGAUGGAGAUGAUAAACCUGCUGAACCAAGGGGGAUUGAGACAAAGAAGAGAGGGAAAAUUUUACGUAGAUUUAGUUUAUUAUGGAAUCAAGACAUAAAUAUAUAGGUCUCUUUUAUUUAAUAUUUCAGUCUUAUUAUACAAUUCAACAUGGACUAAAUUUAAACAAAAAUUUUCAAGAAAAUAUCCAUAGUUUAGGCGCGCGGCAGUGGAGAUUGUGGAUAUGGCGUCAAGUGGAGCCUCCUGAUAAGACUCAGGUAGCUGUUACUAGAAUUAUCUCCAAACUUGCCCGUCGCCA